rnacentral:lncRNA from 1 species
CAACACAGACACUAUAAGAUGACAGACAAGAGUACUAUUACUGCUUUGUUAUGUUUAGCGACAUCAGGGAAAGGUACUAUACAGCCAAGAAUGAUAACGAUGAACUGUGUUCUGAAAGAGUGAAGGUGUUGAUGAAACUUCGUAAAUAUAGAUGGCAAAAAGCAUCUGUUGAACCUAAAUUAUGACUAAAAUUAUUAUUAUAGGCAUAUAAAAUAAUAUCUUAUGUUUGAUGUAAUAAACAAUAGUCUCUAGAGCUUUUGUUUCAUCCCCUUUUGACUUCAUCACAAAAUAAAUGUGUGAUUUGACCUCUUUGGUGGUAGAAGUA